rnacentral:rRNA from 1 species
AUACGGAGGGGGCUAGCGUUGUUCGGAAUUACUGGGCGUAAAGCGUCCGCAGGCGGAUAAUUAAGUUAGAGGUGAAAUCCCAGGGCUCAACCCUGGAACUGCCUUUAAAACUGGUUAUCUAGAGUUAUGGAGAGGUAAGUGGAAUUCCUAGUGUAGAGGUGAAAUUCGUAGAUAUUAGGAGGAACACCAGAGGCGAAGGCGGCUUACUGGACAUAUGCUGACGCUGAGGGACGAAAGUGUGGGGAGCGAACGGGAUUAGAAACCCCGGUAGUCC